GCGGGUGUAGUUUAGUGGUAAAACUGCAGCUUCCCAAGCUGCCAUCGCGAGUUCGAUUCUCGUCACCCGCUUCA
rnacentral:tRNA from 1 species